rnacentral:snRNA from 21 species
AUCUCUUUGCCUUUUGGCUUAGAUCAAGUGUAGUAUCUGUUCUUUUCAGCGUAACAGCUGAAACGUCGUCAUUGACGACAUCAAUAUAUACAUAUUUUUGGACAAUUGCUUGUGGGAUCGAUGGGCUUGCUCACACCCACUAGCGCAGUGUCGUUGCCAUUGCACAUCUCGGCUUCUGACGCAACCCCUC